AACGGCUGCUAAUACCCCAUAUGCCGCGAGGUGAAAUGAAUUUCGCCUGAGGAUGAGCUCGCGUCUGAUUAGCUAGUUGGUGUAGGUAAUGGCUCACCAAGGCAUCGAUCAGUAGCUGGUCUGAGAGGAUGAUCAGCCACACUGGGACUGAGACACGGCCCAGACUCCUACGGGAGGCAGCAGUGGGGAAUUUUCCGCAAUGGGCGAAAGCCUGACGGAGCAACGCCGCGUGAGGAAUGAAGGCCUCUGGGCUGUAAACCUCUUUUAUCAAGGAAGAAGAUCUGACGGUACUUGAUGAAUAAGCCACGGCUAAUUCCGUGCCAGCAGCCGCGGUAAUACGGGAGUGGCAAGCGUUAUCCGGAAUUAUUGGGCGUAAAGCGUCCGCAGGCGGCCCUUCAAGUCUGCUGUUAAAAAGUGGAGCUUAACUCCAUCAUGGCAGUGGAAACUGUUGGGCUUGAGU
rnacentral:rRNA from 1 species